GACGAACGCUGGCGGCGUGCCUAAUACAUGCAAGUAGAACGCUGAAGGAGGAGCUUGCUCUUCUGGAUGAGUUGCGAACGGGUGGGUAACGCGUAGGUAACCUGCCUGGUAGCGGGGGAUAACUAUUGGAAACGAUAGCUAAUACCGCAUAAGAGUAGAUGUUGCAUGACAUUUGCUGAAAAGUUGCAAUUGCAUCACUACCAGUUGGACCUGCGUAGUAUUAGCUAGGUGGUGGGGUAUCGGCUCACCAAGGCGAGGAUACAUAGCCGACCGGAGAGGGGGAGCGGCCACACUGGGACUGAGACACGGCCCAGACGGCUACGGGAGGCAGCAGGAGGGAAUCGUCGGCAAUGGGCGGAAGUCUGACCGAGAAACGCCGCGGGAGUGAAGAAGGUUGUCGGAUCGGAAAGCUCGGUUGUAAGAGAAGAACGCGUGUGAGAGUGGAAAGUUCACACUGUGACGGUAUCUUACCAGAAAGAGACGGCUAACUACGUG
rnacentral:rRNA from 1 species